rnacentral:rRNA from 1 species
UGCCAGCAUCCUCGGUAAUACGGAGGGUGCAAGCGUUGUUCGGAAUUACUGGGCGUAAAGCGCGCGUAGGCGGCUAUUUAAGUCAGAUGUGAAAGUCCACGGCUCAACCCUGGAAUUGCACUCGAUACUGUCAGACUAGAGUCCCGGAGAGGGUGGCGGAAUUCCCGGUGUAGGGGUGAAAUCCGUAGAUAUCGGGAGGAACACCAGUGGCGAAGGCGGCCACCUGGACGGUGACUGACGCUCAGACUCGAAAGCGUGGGGAGCAAACAGGAUUAGAUA